AAGAUAUACAAACUGAAGACUACUGUACCUUAACUAGCACUAUAGCAAGUAAUUCAAUUGAAAGGUAUUGUGAAAAAAUGGCAGAUAUUCGAGGAGUUUCAGGCAUGGAUUGUAAUGACAAGUGUGGCUGCACUGUACCAUGCCCCGGUGGGGUUUCUUGCAGGUGCAGUAACAAGGAUUCAACUGCAAGUGGGGGUGAACACAAGACAUGCACCUGUGGCCAGCACUGUGGGUGCAACCCAUGCUCAUGCCCAGAGAGUGCAGCGGCUGGUGGGGCUGGCAGGGGCUCAUGCAAGUGUGGUGCUGGUUGCUCAUGUUCAACUUGCCAGGCCUGAUUUGGAGAACUAUAUUUAGAUACAUUAUCUACCAUGUGCUAGGUGUUUUGGUUUAUUAUGCAGCUUUAGACUGUUAAAAAAGCCUCAUCAUCUAUGUGAUGAAUGGUUAACUAAUGUUGGUUUGUGUAUGGUUUUUCCAAGAAUAAUUAAGAAUAAAUAUAUUGCAA